rnacentral:rRNA from 1 species
UACGUAGGGCGCAAGCGUUGUCCGGAAUUAUUGGGCGUAAAGAGCUCGUAGGCGGCCUGUUGCGUCCGCUGUGAAAUCCCGAGGCUCAACCUCGGGUCUGCAGUCGAUACGGGCGGACUGGAGUUCGGCAGGGGAGACUGGAAUUCCUGGUGUAGCGGUGAAAUGCGCAGAUAUCAGGAGGAACACCGGUGGCGAAGGCGGGUCUCUGGGCCGAUACUGACGCUGAGGAGCGAAAGCGUGGGGAGCGAACAGG